GAUGAACGCUAGCGGCAGGCUUAAUACAUGCAAGUCGUGGGGCAGCAUGAGUAGCAAUACUUGAUGGCGACCGGCAAACGGGUGCGGAACACGUACACAACCUUCCGAUCAGUGGGGAAUAGCCCAGAGAAAUUUGGAUUAAUACCCCGUAACAUAUAGAGUAGGCAUCUUCUUUAUAUUAUAGCUUCGGCGCUUAUUGAUGGGUGUGCGUCUGAUUAGGUAGUUGGCGGGGUAACGGCCCACCAAGCCUACGAUCAGUAGCUGAUGUGAGAGCAUGAUCAGCCACACGGGCACUGAGACACGGGCCCGACUCCUACGGGAGGCAGCAGUAAGGAAUAUUGGACAAUGGACGAAAGCCUGAUCCAGCCAUGCCGCGUGAAGGAUUAAGGUCCUCUGGAUUGUAAACUUCUUUUAUUUGGGACGAAAAAAGGGAAUUCUUUCCCACUUGACGGUACCAAGUGAAUAAGCACCGGCUAACUCCGUGCCAGCCGCCGCCGUAA
rnacentral:rRNA from 1 species